UUUUAAUGGUAGCCAUAUCAACGUAGUAAUUAAUAUUGUUCAGAUAGCAUUAGGAGGGUAUCGACGAUACGUUUUCGAUAGAAAUAUAAUUUCGACACUUUAUAAAUUAUAGUAAUAUUUUUCAUAUUUUUCUUCUCUCUUUUCGUUUUAUACAUCUCGCGUGUCUCGUAUGUUGAGUAUUGGAUUCGUUGUAAUUUUGAUAAGAUUAUAUAAAAAAUACACAUCUCGGAAUUCGCUUCAGCUUACCGUAAUGUGUGUAUCCGGAUAAUUAAUCUUUUAAGGUGAUUGUUAUUUCAUACGUACAUAUCGAGAGUGCGCGACGAGAGUGAGCAAAACUCUUAAGCGCGCGCACGUUUUCAAUAUAAUAUACCCACCUUUCGACAUGUGUCUGAAGCAGUAUAGCUGCAGAUGUAAUAAUCGUGGGCGUAAACAUUUUGUUUCUGUACACUAGGCAGAAGCACUGUACGUUGCUCACAAGGCAUUUCGCACGAUGGGAGAAACGGGAGAAGGAUAGGAAGGAGCGAAUGGAUGCAUUAGUGGUCUUCUUAAUACGUAACGACGGUAUUUAAGUUUACACAUUUAUGCGGAUGCAGAAAUGCUUGUGGCGCUAAAUCCAAGCUAAAUAAACGCUCUAUUUAUAUACUAAAUUGAAAAUAUAGAAGAGGAAGGACUAAUCAACUUAACGUCUCUUGAAGCAUUAUUUACUUUCUUUAUCUCUUUCAUUUUUGUUAGAUACCGAAUUAGAAUAGUAAAAGAAAACUAAAAUUUUCACAAGCUUGCUUAAGCUACGUCCCUCUACGUUUAUUUAUUUAUAUGCUUAAUUCCAGUGUACGUGUGAGGGUAUUGCAUCAAAAAUGCGUGAAGCGCGUAAUCAACGAUUGGCAACAGGUAGCCAUUGUGUAAAAAUGGUAUGACGGUAUUUAAUUAAAUCGAUAUUUGGCGAGUGCCAUGAGACGGCGAUCUAGUUUAUAAAUAGCAUCGGGAAAUUGUUGAAACGAUAUAUUAUAGACUCACAUAAUAAACAUAAAAAGAAUUAAUUUACAAAAAUAUAUUGUAAAAAAAUUUGGAAACAAUUUUCCACGAGAAAAUGUUGUUUGAUAGCAAGGAGAAAAAAAAAGAGAGAAAAUAGAAGUGAGAGCGUUCUUUUUUUUUUAUUCACGCAUAAUGCAGUCCUAGGAGGAAGCAAAGGAGAAUGAUAAAGUAGUCGUUGAUUGCUUCGUCAUUUAAUACAGUUGUAUACAUAUACGCAGAGAACAAUGCAGAUGAAUGGGGCACUUAACAAAAGAAUAUUAAACAAGGGAGAACAAGUGUUAAUGCAUUAGAUCAUUGUACAAAGGAAAAAUUGCGGAGGAAGAAUCGUAAUACAUGUUUCAAAUUUAUACACAAGUAUGUGUGAUAACAUAUUUCAUCGAAUUAUUACACAUGUGUGCAUUGCUCUAGAAAUUGUUUAAUUCACGUUAAAUCAAACUGACGUUCAAGAGGAUUUAAAUGUUCCAUUUUCGUUCGUGGAUACCAAAGUUGUAUUGCACAGAGCAGCAAUGCAGGUAUAGUCAUAAUGAUAUAAUCGAUACGAAGAAAGAGAUAACACGUAUAAUUCUUCCUCAUAAGCACCUCCGUGAGCAUCCAUACAUUUUAAAUAUAGUAAAUUAUAAAAUAAAAGAGCACAACUAAAAAUCGGUAUACAUGUAUUAUAUAUACCGGAAGCCAAAGUUGCUUUUAAUCGUUCAAUGUUUUCCGUGGUUGCCUCUUUACUUUUUUUAUACUUGGUAAACAAUAAGUCAUAAAAAUAUUUUUAUCGAAUUAUUUUAUAGUAUCGGCAAUUUAACAUCUCGUGUAACUUUAUGCGAAAAGAGUGCAUCCUUAUUACGAGAGAAGAAUUGUCCCGGAGAAACAAUUGGAUGUGAGCUUCUAGUCGGCAUCGAGAUGUGUGCUUUAGAUUAGACUUUAUGCGUCAGAUGUCCCGCAUACGUCGUCGUCGGCUAGAAUCAUGCAGAGGAAAAUUCGUUGCCCUUAUUAUUUCAACGAAGACUGCACUUCGUCCGUAUACGUGUACCGAGAUAAAGGAUUCAAAUAUCUAUAUCUUUGCCAUCCGAUAAGAGAGGAAUACUAGUAAACGAGUAAACUAUUCAUUAAAAUAUUAAAUUAAUUCUUAUUGCGCUUAGGUAUUGCUUUUUUGUUGGAAAAAAUCUUAUAACUAAAUCUUUCACUAUUACAUAAAGAUUAAAUUAUUAGAAUAACAUCUGCAUUUGUGUGUUUUUUUUUUUUUUUUUUUUUAAACGCAAUCCGACUGAUUUUUCUCGCAAGUACUUCUUUACUGCCACUUCGCCGCUGUUUAUCUCAUUAACAUAUAUGUAUAAGUCAUCGAAACUAUAAGCUUCACUAUUUCACUAGAUAAUUGAAAUGAUCAAGAAUGCUCGCCAUCUAUUCUUGUGGCAGGAGAUGCUGCGAUGAUGAUACUGCGUUACCUAAAAUGGUAGAUGCGUAAUCCCGAGUGGGCGCUGACACGAAAUACAGGGGAUAAAAUUUCUCGAACGAGUGAUACACGAUCGAGUCUCGUCGAAAGGGAACUCGACGGAUCGACAGAUCGUUUUAUGACGCGAUCAUCUGUCGAAGAAUAGCGUAAUUUCCAGGAAAGAAUUUUAAAGAAAAAUAGAAUGUCAUGUCGGGGCCAAGAUUUUAUCCGGUAUCAGAUGAAAGAUCAAAGGACUCCAACGUCGAUCGUCCGCACCAACGCUGCGCGAUUUCAAAUUUCUUCAUCAAUGUUUAAUCAGUCGAAAUAAUUAAAUGCAAUCAAGGAGAUGUUAUCUAUAUGAGGAAAUAUGACAAAGCUAGACGAAAAGACUAAAGAAUAAAAACGACAUUUCCAACUAGGUAUACGUUAGAGCUUGAAUUAUUAUACGUACGUACGAGAAUAAUUCGCAGUGUUGCUAUUUUCGGAGAUUUCUCGUGAUCCGUUUCUAGGCUAGUGCAGAACGUAUUCGUUUGUCAUGGAUUUAAGCUGAGAAAUUUCCGCUCUUCAUUCUCGCUGCGCCACGCGCCGUCUCUAUAAUUUCAGCAGCUCAUCCUUGCAUCGCGCAUCGUGUCGAUUUACAGAUGUGCGAAGCAAAGGAGCGUAGGUAUCGUCAGCAUCGUAAUUUGCAUCGCGAUAUCGAAUAUCGAUUGCGUAAUUCAUCACAAUGUAUGUAACGCGACGUCGUCGCUGCCCGGCUGCGAUUGCAAAUCGAUCUCGUGUGGUUAACUCUCAACCAUAUAGGAAGUAAUUAUUGUUAUAUAAUAUAUGUCUACCGGUUGGAGAGCGCAAAUAAGCUCUUAAAUGAUGACAUGGAUCAAGAGAUUAUUUAAUUACACCAAUAAUUUAAUCUUUUAAGAAUUACGAAUGUAAAAGCAAAAGUUAUCUCACGACUACAUUUAAAAAGUAAAGAUAAAAACUGUUAAAUGCUUAGAUAUAUUUUGGAACAUUUUGUGUGUCAAAUGUGUUUCGGAUAUAGGUAAAGUCAAGCUUCCUGUAUCUAAAUAGAGCAAGGUUAAUUGCAAUCUUCCUGUAUGUGACACGCUUUAUGAUGGAACUUGUUGAAUAGACUCGAGCAAAUCACCUUGGUAUUAGGGACAGAUGUUCCAAUAGUUUUUCGAAGGUCGAGGAAAAAACAAGGUUGCGAUAAUAUUUCUACGUGUGUGAAAUUUGUGUAUUACUCGUGUUAAAAGUAAUUAUAUACAUUCCUAUACACUUUUUUACAUUAAGUAUAGUUGAAAAAAAUUAAGUUUUAUUUUACAACAGUAUCCCUUCUUAUAUAAUAAUAAAAUAUAAAAGAUAAAUGACACCUAUGAAUGUUUUAUAGGUAAGAAAAGAAAUUGCAACUAUUGUGAAAUAAUCUAAUGAAAAGUAUUGUACAUAUAUGUACUCUAUAUUUUUUUAAUUAAUGCAUAUACAUAUGUAAGUUUUAAAAGUUUAAUAUUUAAAUUUAAACAGAGAUAUAAGAAUUAAUCUGUUAGUUUUGUAAUUUGCAUGCAUUGUCAAAGUAAUUAAAUGUACAUCUAUCUGUAAAGAUAUUAAUGAUUUUAAUACAUUUUUUCGUUCUAAACUACUUUUUAUCUUGUACUAUAGUUCUUGUACUUGUGGAAAAUGAAAAUAAUAUAUACAUGUAGAGAGAGAAAGAGAGAAAGAAAGAGACAGGGGGGGGGAGAGGGGGACUAGCAUACGCUAUGAAGGUCUUCGUCUAGCCCUAAUAAUUUAUUUUCAAUUUAAAUAUUUUAUGCUUAUUAUUCAAUAUAUAUGCGGAGAAGAAUCUCAUUCAUGUAAGGCCACAAUAAUUUGAAAUGCGCCAUUGCCGCUCGAUGUCACAGGCUUAUAACCGAGGCGCGGCUACAGAAAUAGCCCGUGACUCAAUAUUUAGGCAGUGUCGAUUUGCUGCAGUACGCUUUGGUCACGAAGCUUAGUCCCUUAGGUCGGCACGGUGGUACCGGCAACAGGAAAUUUGUCCAUUUAUUUUCGACUACGGCUAGACCGCAACAUUGAACAAUAAAAAUAUAACGAUCAAAUUAAGCUGAUAAUUGUAACAUUCGCGACACAAUUAAAUAUUAUAAUUUUUUUUUUUAAU